CACUGCAACCAGGUCAAGAAAAAGAAUAUUGAUGCAAUCCAGAAGCUCCCUUGGACCGCCUGCCAAUCAUCACCCUGUCUCUUAUUCUCAAAGACAACAUCUGUUUUGACUCAUGAUGGUUUAGUUCAUCUAUGCCUGCUAAAUUUCAUUUGAGACUAUUACGAAGAAUGCCGUUUGGAGUAUUCUUGUACGUGCCUCUUGGUGCACAUCUACAUACUCUUCUGUGGUAUAUAUCCAGGAGGGGUAUUGUUGGGAAGAAGGAGAUACCAGAGAUCUGAGCAAGUGGAAUUUUGAGGCUGAAGUAAGAUAAUGAGAAGACCCAGAGAGAUUAUAAAAGAUGCAGAGUGAGAGAAUGGAAAGAGCCUUGAACCAGAAGUCAGGCUUGAGCUGAAAGCUCACAUCGCUCUUAAAAAAAGCAGUUUGGUGAAAUUAAAGAAUGUGAACUUUGAAUUCAGCCUAUAAUUUGAAUCUUGGCAUCAAUAUUCCUCUGAUUGAUGACUUUGGGAAGGCUGAUGGCCAUUUAUCUUGUGUCUUCAUGAGCAAAGAAGAACAUAAAAUUGAGAAGAUAUCCCAAGAUGCCAUUAUUUAUAGACAUUCUUAAUAAUUCAACUCUGUAAUUAUGCUACUUCCCUACAAUUUUUGUAUGUUUA
rnacentral:lncRNA from 1 species